rnacentral:rRNA from 1 species
GCGUUCACAGCUAAGGUUGGCAGCAGGAGCGAAAACUUUUCGAAUAGGCAAUGCCUGAAAAGGUAACUAUCCGUAUCAACAACUGCUUUUAGUAGUUGAUUGGAAUGGGAGACUUUUAGACCUAGUCUCGAGUAGCAAGUUCAGGGCAAGUCUGGUGCCAGCAGCCGCGGUAAUACCAGCUGAGCUAGAAAURGGUAACAUUGUUGCAGUAAAAACGUACGUAGUCACCUUUGUUUUCGUACCUCUUCCUUUCGGUUGAGGUAGAUGAACACCUGGCCAUUACUUGUUUUUGGCUAUCUCCGCGAGUAAACUAGAACGAUUAACUUGAAUGUUGUAUAUGACAGCGUGGGAAACCUGAUGAUGCCUAUCGGUUUUGUGCUUAUCUUAAUCAUAGGGAUAAACUGUAGGAAUGAAUGAGGGCAUUAGUAUUUAGUAGCUAGAGGUGAAAUUCCUAGAUUUACUAACGACUAACUACUGCGAAAGCAUUUGCCUAAUUCAUUUUUGGUGAUCAAGUACUAAAGAGUGGGGAUCGAAGAGGAUUAGAUACCCUCGUAGUCCACUCCCUAAACGAUGCCAACUAGUGGUUGGUGCAUGUCACGAACUUUAUCAGAACCUUAGCAGAUAUGAAAGUCUUUGGGCUCUGGGGGGAGUACGGUCGCAAGGGCGAAACUUAAAGGAAUUGACGGAACGGCACCACCAGGGGUGGAGCGUGCGGCUUAAUUUGACUCAACGCGGGAAACCUUACUAGGGUAAGACAUUGGUAUGAUUGACAGAUUACUUGAUCUUUCUUGAUUUGGUGGGUGGUGGUGCAUGGCCGAUCUUAGUUGGYGGGGUGACCCGUCUGGUUAAUUUCGAUAACGAACGAGAUCCGAGCUGUUUAGUUGGCCGCGUUUAUUUUUUAAGCGKGUGUCUCCUAUAUGGACUGUCAGUAUGAGGSUGAAGGAAGUUUCGGGCYAAAUCAGGUCUGUGAUGCCCUUAGACACUCUAGGCGGCACGCGCGCUACAAUGGGCGGAAGAACGUGUUACURCCACCGAAAGGUGGGGUGAAUCACGAAUUCUUGCCCUUGAAUGGGAUAGUUUGUUGCAAUUUUCGGACUUGAACUAGGAAUCCC